UUUGUGGGUGGUGGUGCAUGGCCGUUCUUAGUUGGUGGAGUGAUUUGUCUGCUUAAUUGCGAUAACGAACGAGACCUUAACCUGCUAACUAGCCCGUAUUGCUUUGGCAGUACGCUGGCUUCUUAGAGGGACUAUCGCUCAAGCCGAUGGAAGUUUGAGGCAAUAACAGGUCUGUGAUGCCCUUAGAUGUUCUGGGCCGCACGCGCGCUACACUGACGGAGCCAGCGAGUACUCCCUUGGCCGAAAGGCCUGGGUAAUCUUGUUAAACUCCGUCGUGCUGGGGAUAGAGCAUUGCAAUUAUUGCUCUUCAACGAGGAAUCCCUAGUAAGCGCAAGUCAUCAGCUUGCGUUGAUUACGUCCCUGCCCUUUGUACACACCGCCCGUCGCUACUACCGAUUGAAUGGCUCAGUGAGGCGUCCGGACUGGCCCAGAGAGGAGGGAAACCACCACUCAGGGCCGGAAAGCUCUCCAAACUCGGUCAUUUAGAGGAAGUAAAAGUCGUAACAAGGUCUCCGUUGGUGAACCAGCGGAGGGAUCAUUACCGAGUUUACAACUCCCAAACCCAUGUGAACAUACCUACUGUUGCUUCGGCGGGAUUGCCCCGGGCGCCUCGUGUGCCCCGGAUCAGGCGCCCGCCUAGGAAACUUAAUUCUUGUUUUAUUUUGGAAUCUUCUGAGUAGUUUUUACAAAUAAAUAAAAACUUUCAACAACGGAUCUCUUGGUUCUGGCAUCGAUGAAGAACGCAGCGAAAUGCGAUAAGUAAUGUGAAUUGCAGAAUUCAGUGAAUCAUCGAAUCUUUGAACGCACAUUGCGCCCGCCAGUAUUCUGGCGGGCAUGCCUGUCUGAGCGUCAUUUCAACCCUCAUGCCCCUAGGGCGUGGUGUUGGGGAUCGGCCAAAGCCCGCGAGGGACGGCCGGCCCCUAAAUCUAGUGGCGGACCCGUCGUGGCCUCCUCUGCGAAGUAGUGAUAUUCCGCAUCGGAGAGCGACGAGCCCCUGCCGUUAAACCCCCAACUUUCCAAGGUUGACCUCAGAUCAGGUAGGAAUACCCGCUGAACUUAAGCAUAUCAAUAAGCGGAGGAAAAGAAACCAACAGGGAUUGCCCUAGUAACGGCGAGUGAAGCGGCAACAGCUCAAAUUUGAAAUCUGGCGCAAGCCCGAGUUGUAAUUUGUAGAGGAUGUUUCUGGCGACGUGCCUUCCGAGUUCCCUGGAACGGGACGCCAUAGAGGGUGAGAGCCCCGUACGGUUGGAUGCCUAGCCUCUGUGAAACUCCUUCGACGAGUCGAGUAGUUUGGGAAUGCUGCUCUAAAUGGGAGGUAUACGUCUUCUAAAGCUAAAUACCGGCCAGAGACCGAUAGCGCACAAGUAGAGUGAUCGAAAGAUGAAAAGCACUUUGAAAAGAGGGUUAAAAAGUACGUGAAAUUGUUGAAAGGGAAGCGUUCAUGACCAGACUUGGGCAGGUUGAUCAUCCGUGGUUCUCCGCGGUGCACUCUGCCUGCCCAGGCCAGCAUCAGUUCGCCCCGGGGGAUAAAGGCUUUGGGAAUGUGGCUCCCUCGGGAGUGUUAUAGCCCACUGUGUAAUACCCUGGGGUGGACUGAGGUUCGCGCUCUGCAAGGAUGCUGGCGUAAUGGUCAUCAACGAC
rnacentral:rRNA from 1 species